rnacentral:rRNA from 1 species
GACGAACGCUGGCGGCGUGCUUAACACAUGCAAGUCGAACGGAGAGGCGCUUCGCUUUCUGCUGGGUGCGAAUGGGUGGCGAACGGGUGAGUAAUAUGUGAGUCACCUUCCCCUACUUUCUGGAUAACGGGACGAAAGCGUGACUAAUACGGGAUAUUCUGGGUCUGUCGUAUGAAGGGUUUGCGACAGUUUUUGUGUCCGUGGGGGAUAGGCGCGCGGGUGAUCAGCUUGUUGGGGAGGUGAUGGCCUACCAAGGCGCCGACGGGUAGCCGGCCUGAGAGGGUAGACGGGCACAAUAGGACUGAGGGAGGGACCAGAAGGCGACGGGAGGCAGCGGUGGGGAGUAUUGCGCAAUGGGCGCGAGCGUGAGGCAGCGACGCCGCGUGAGGGAUGACGGCCUUCGAGUGGAGAACCAAUUUCACCAGGAACGAAGAGCAAGUGACGGUACCUAAAGAGGAAGCACCGGCCAACUACGUG